GAGUUUGAUCCUGGCUCAGAACGAACGCUGGCGGCGUGCCUAACACAUGCAAGUCGAACGGGAUGAGGGGCUUGCUCCUCAUUUAGUGGCGCACGGGUGAGUAACGCGUAGAUAAUCUGCCUGAUGAUCCGGGAUAACACUUCGAAAGGGGUGCUAAUACCGGAUAAGCCCACGGUUUCUUUGGAAUCUGCGGGAAAAGGGGGGGACCUUCGGGCCUUCUGUCAUCAGAUGGGUCCGCGUACCAUUAGCUAGUUGGUGGGGUAAUGGCCUACCAAGGCGACGAUGGUUAGCUGGUCUGAGAGGAUGAUCAGCCACACUGGAACUGAGACACGGUCCAGACUCCUACGGGAGGCAGCAGUGGGGAAUUUUGCGCAAUGGGGGAAACCCUGACGCAGCAACGCCGCGUGAGUGAUGAAGGCUUUCGGGUCGUAAAGCUCUGUCAGAGGGGAAGAAAUGAGCUUGGCUAAUAUCCAAGUUUCUUGACGGUACCCUCAAAGGAAGCACCGGCUAACUCCGUGCCAGCAGCCGCGGUAAUAC
rnacentral:rRNA from 1 species